CGUCAGCGGAACCGGUCGUGGGUUUCAUACGUCACUUCCGCUCUACCUGGCGGCGCUGUACAACCGUACGGAAGCUGCAGCUACCCGCCAUGGAUCCGCAGGGACGGCGCGAUCCGCGCCCGCUCUACCGCCUGGUGCUGGCCGCUGUGGUGCUGCUUUCCUGGGGCUACGUCCUGUACGGGGCCCGGGAGGCGGCGCGGCGGCAGCUGCAGGGCGAGCUGGCGGUGCCUCGGCUGCCAUAGGCGGAGCGGGAGGACGGCGGCGUGGUCUCCGAGGGAGCCGUCGGAGGACGGGAGGAGCUGCACGGUCAACUGGGCGAAUAAAGGCUGAGCUGCUUUCGUGAAAAAAA